CGGUUCACGAGUGAGAAUGCAGGCAUGAGUAGCGAUUCACACGUGAGAAACGUGUGCGCCGAUUGACUAAGGGUUCCUGGGUCAAGCUGAUCUGCCCAGGGUAAGUCGGGACCUAAGGCGAGGCCGACAGGCGUAGUCGAUGGAUAACCGGUUGAUAUUCCGGUACCCGCUGUGAAGCGUCAAACAUUGAAUCCAGUGAUGCUAAGCCCGUGAAGCCGUUCCGGACCCUUCGGGGAAUGGAAAGUGGUGGAGCCGGUGGCCCGAGCUGGUAGUAGGUGAGUGAUGGGGUGACGCAGGAAGGUAGUCCAUCCCGGGCGGUGGUUGUCCCGGGGUAAGGGUGUAGGACGUCAGGUAGGUAAAUCCGUCUGGCAAUAGUCUGAGACCUGAUGCCGAGCCGAUUGUGGUGAAGUGGAUGAUCCUAUGCUGUCGAGAAAAGCCUCUAGCGAGUUUCAUGGCGGCCCGUACCCUAAACCGACUCAGGUGGUCAGGUAGAGAAUACCGAGGCGUUCGGGUGAACUAUGGUUAAGGAACUCGGCAAAAUGCCCCCGUAACUUCGGGAGAAGGGGGGCCAUGUCUGGUGAUCCGAUUUACUCGGUGAGCUGGGUGUGGCCGCAGAGACCAGCGAGAAGCGACUGUUUACUAAAAACACAGGUCCGUGCGAAGCCGUAAGGCGAUGUAUACGGACUGACGCCUGCCCGGUGCUGGAACGUUAAGGGGACCGGUUAGUCACAUUUCGGUGUGGCGAAGCUGAGAACUUAAGCGCCAGUAAACGGCGGUGGUAACUAUAACCAUCCUAAGGUAGCGAAAUUCCUUGUCGGGUAAGUUCCGACCUGCACGAAUGGCGUAACGACUUCUCGACUGUCUCAACCAUAGGCCCGGUGAAAUUGCAUUACGAGUAAAGAUGCUCGUUUCGCGCAGCAGGACGGAAAGACCCCGGGACCUUUACUACAGUUUGAUAUUGGUGUUCGGUUCGGCUUGUGUAGGAUAGGUGGGAGACUGUGAAGCAUGCACGCCAGUGUGUGUGGAGUCGUCGUUGAAAUACCACUCUGGUCGUGCUGGAUGUCUAACCUGGGUCCGUGAUCCGGAUCAGGGACAGUGUCUGAUGGGUAGUUUAACUGGGGCGGUUGCCUCCUAAAGAGUAACGGAGGCGCCCAAAGGUUCCCUCAGCCUGGUUGGUAAUCAGGUGUUGAGUGUAAGUGCACAAGGGAGCUUGACUGUGAGACCGACGGGUCGAGCAGGGACGAAAGUCGGGACUAGUGAUCCGGCGGUGGCUUGUGGAAGCGCCGUCGCUCAACGGAUAAAAGGUACCCCGGGGAUAACAGGCUGAUCUUCCCCAAGAGUCCAUAUCGACGGGAUGGUUUGGCACCUCGAUGUCGGCUCGUCGCAUCCUGGGGCUGGAGUCGGUCCCAAGGGUUGGGCUGUUCGCCCAUUAAAGCGGUACGCGAGCUGGGUUUAGAACGUCGUGAGACAGUUCGGUCCCUAUCCGCUGUGCGCGUAGGAAUAUUGAGAAGGGCUGUCCCUAGUACGAGAGGACCGGGACGGACGAACCUCUGGUGUGCCAGUUGUUCUGCCAAGGGCAUGGCUGGUUGGCUACGUUCGGGAGGGAUAACCGCUGAAAGCAUCUAAGCGGGAAGCCUGCUUCGAGAUGAGUAUUCCCACCUCCUUGAGAGGGUAAGGCUCCCAGUAGACGACUGGGUUGAUAGGCCGGAUAUGGAAGCCCUGUAAGGGGUGGAGUUGACCGGUACUAAUAGGCCGAGGGCUUGUCCUC
rnacentral:rRNA from 1 species